UCUGUUGGGUUGGUCUUGCUUUGAUCUAGUCUUUUCUAUGUUGAUAUUCACCCCUUUCAGAAUGGAGAUAUUUGCACACCACUGUAUACUGGGAAUAUGUAACUUGGUUUAUGAAUUUUCAGGGAUUUACAACUAAGAGUUUAACUUGGGUCUUUGUUGAGGAUCACAGAUUCAAUGGCUAGUUUUACAUACUUCCUUUAGGGACAGAUGGAGGUUUGGGAUUAUUGGUAUCGCCUUUUGAGAUUUCCCAUUACUUCUUUAGGCCAUCCUCUUCCAGCUACUAAGACUAGGACUAAGACUACUAAGACUAAAGAUGCUGUAAGGACACUAGAGGCCCCCUGCAGGGGUCCCUGAUAGAUCCUAGAGGAGACUUCGGACUGGGAGUUUUGAACAGUGCUGGAACUACUGAGAUUCCUGGAGGGAAGUGGUACUCUUUCAGUUGUACACAGGAGGGUCAUAGCACGAUUGGCCUUGCCAUGUAAUUCAGCCUGACUCCAGAUUCAAGUUUGAAGUGACAUUCAGGCCUCCGCCCCGAGUUCUGGGAUUACAGGGAUCGAACUCACGACUGCCUGCUUGCAAGGCAGGCGCUUAUGCCGCUGAGCUAAAUCCCGGGCCCCUUUAAUGAUGACUUUCAAAAAGCAAAAUGUGAAGCACGCUUCCUGGGGAUGCCCUAAUACGACCCCUGGGAGUGAGACACACCCUUGGGCCAGCAGCCUAAAUCGGUGUCAGUGCCACCACCCUGGCAACCCGGCAGAAACCACUGGAGCCCCCUGAAAGUGUUAUAAACCACAGAACUGCUCCAGACUUUCUGGGAGGAAUGCGUAUUUGUCAACACCUUCUGUUCCUGGAUAAACAUCUCAGUUGUUGCUGAGACACAAAUAGAAGAGACCUGAAAGAAAGCCCACUGGCUACAGACAGGGGCCACCUAAUGGAUCCUUCUCUGACCCUUAUGACAUCCUACCUGGACUAUUAGAAGCUGGGCUAUGUCACAACUUUGGGCAGGUUGCACUGUGUGGUGGCAAUAGUGGACACAGUAAAAUGUGUUCUGGCUA